rnacentral:rRNA from 1 species
UACGAAGGGGGCUAGCGUUGCUCGGAAUCACUGGGCGUAAAGGGUGCGUAGGCGGGUCUUUAAGUCAGGGGUGAAAUCCUGGAGCUCAACUCCAGAACUGCCUUUGAUACUGAAGAUCUUGAGUUCGGGAGAGGUGAGUGGAACUGCGAGUGUAGAGGUGAAAUUCGUAGAUAUUCGCAAGAACACCAGUGGCGAAGGCGGCUCACUGGCCCGAUACUGACGCUGAGGCGCGAAAGCGUGGGGAGCAAACGGGG